rnacentral:rRNA from 1 species
GGUUGAUCCUGCCAGUAGCAUAUGCUUGUCUCAAAGAUUAAGCCAUGCACGUCCAAGUACGGUAUAUGAGGGGUGGGGUGCCAGGUGGAUCUAAUCUUGCCUUCACGGGUGAGGUUAGCUAAGCUUGGUUAUCUUGCUUCCAUACACAGCGAAACUGCGGAUGGCUCCGUAAAACAGUGUUAACCUACACGGGGAAAUAUCCAAUUUCGGUUGGAUCACAAGGAUAACUGUGGAAACUCCAGAGCUAAUACUUGCCCUAUGCCCAGCCUUAAAAACUGGGUGGAGUUGA